CAGUGUUUUUGGGUCCCUCUAGUCUUGCCCAAGCUGUGCGGACAGACAUGGAGAGCUGGGUCCAAACCUGAGAACUGAUUCACUCUGCUGACUCAACCAUCCAGUCUAAUGGUGUCUCAGGCAGUAGUGGCAACUCUGCUGUGGCUCUGGUUUCUGCUGGUGACUUCAGACCAUUGGUUCAGGACACCUCGGGAUUGUUGGUAGAUGUUUAGAUCUCUCACCUAGUGGCAGAUAUUCGGUGUAACCUUCCCACCGGGAUCCUCAUUGCUUCUCUAUGAAGUGUCUGCGGUUUACAGAUGAGGGCACACACGGGUGCUCAGAUCCACUGCACCCUGGUUCUAAAGUCCACUCUGCUUCCCCUGUGAACCCUCGGAGUUAAGAAAAGAGAU